GGGGAUGGCAGGCUUUGACAAAAGCGGCUCGUUGAAAAACUGCAGACCGGNNCGUAAUGCAGUGUCGCCCCACCCUAAGCUUGUACGGUGGACGCGGCAUCAACCCACAAGCUGGUUCAGUAUCCGUGCCGUAGGCGCCUGAACGAGAUUCAAAUCGGCAAACUCAGUGGCGAUUCGUCGGAUUUUCUGCUUCUGUUUUACACUAACCCGACUAUGUCUGUAGACGUCUUUCAAUAACUCUUUUGGACGGGAGUUCAAUUCUCCUCAUCUCCACCA
rnacentral:tmRNA from 1 species